rnacentral:lncRNA from 1 species
CUAGAAUCUCCUCUAACGCCACCCUUCCAAACACCCAUCUAUGCUGGGUGCAGUGAGGCCACAGCAUGACACUCAUUUAACUCAUUCAAACCCACCAUGUGAGCUUGGCCAAAAGGGACAUGGUGGGAGAGAAAAACAAAGAAAACCAUGUAAGCCUGCAGGCAAUUCCCGCCAAUUCUACUCUAGGAGCAAAAGCCCCGAGUGGAGUUCUAGUAUUUAAG